ACUCCUACGGGAGGCAGCAGUGGGGGAAUCUUGGACAAUGGGCGCAAGCCUGAUCCAGCCAUGCCGCGUGAGUGAUGAAGGCCCUAGGGUCGUAAAGCUCUUUCGCCAGGGAUGAUAAUGACAGUACCUGGUAAAGAAACCCCGGCUAACUCCGUGCCAGCAGCCGCGGUAAUACGGAGGGGUUAGCGUUGUUCGGAAUUACUGGGGCGUAAAGCGCGCGUAGGCGGACUGGAAAGUUGGGGGUGAAAUCCCGGGGCUCAACCCCGGAACUGCCUCCAAAACUCCCAGUCUUGAGUUCGAGAGAGGUGAGUGGAAUUCCGAGUGUAGAGGUGAAAUUCGUAGAUAUUCGGAGGAACACCAGUGGCGAAGGCGGCUCACUGGCUCGAUACUGACGCUGAGGUGCGAAAGUGUGGGGAGCAAACAGGAUUAGAUACCCUGGUAGGAUAGCG
rnacentral:rRNA from 1 species